AGACCCGAAACCCGGUGAUCUAGCCAUGGGCAGGUUGAAGGUUGGGUAACACUAACUGGAGGACCGAACCGACUAAUGUUGAAAAAUUAGCGGAUGACCUGUGGCUGGGGGUGAAAGGCCAAUCAAACCGGGAGAUAGCUGGUUCUCCCCGAAAGCUAUUUAGGUAGCGCCUCGUGAACUCAUCUCCGGGGGUAGAGCACUGUUUCGGCUAGGGGGCCAUCCCGGCUUACCAACCCGAUGCAAACUGCGAAUACCGGAGAAUGUUAUCACGGGAGACACACGGCGGGUGCUAACGUCCGUCGUGAAGAGGGAAACAACCCAGACCGCCAGCUAAGGUCCCAAAGUCAUGGUUAAGUGGGAAACGAUGUGGGAAGGCCCAGACAGCCAGGAUGUUGGCUUAGAAGCAGCCAUCAUUUAAAGAAAGCGUAAUAGCUCACUGGUCGAGUCGGCCUGCGCGGAAGAUGUAACGGGGCUAAACCAUGCACCGAAGCUGCGGCAGCGACGCUGAUGCGUUGUUGGGUA
rnacentral:rRNA from 1 species